ACGAAGGGCCAGCAACUGCCUCAGCCAGGCACACCUUGUCAGCAGUGGAAGAAGAUAGUGAAGGUCAGUUGUUUUACAGGUUUUGCAGCAUUAUCGCUAGGUGCCUUGAUAUAAUGUGGAUAUACUCCAGCAAGCGUCCUAGGUAGCUCCAGAUGUGUUAUAUUUCUGUUUGAAACUGGCUGUUUGUUCUUCUUAAAGGCCCUUGCAGUUGAUUGAUAUGGAUCCAAUGGUCGGAUUCAACCCACUUAACGACUGGUUCGCCGAAAAUGUACAGUGCCCGAUCUACUACCAUGGUUCCAAACUGAAUUAGUACCAUCACUAAGAAGGCCUCUGGGACUUGGUCUUCGGAUAAUGAAGAAGUAAUAUCUGCUGCUGCGGAAUGUUUCUGCGAAGAAAAUAGAAAGGAAACAGAGGAAGCAAAAUUAUUUCUUAUAAAAAUAAUAGUUAUAAAAAUAA